AUUGAACGCUGGCGGAAUGCUUUACACAUGCAAGUCGAACGGUAGAGGGGGCAACCCCUCGAGAGUGGCGAACGCGUGAGUAAUAUAUCGGAACGUGCCCAGUCGUGGGGGGUGACGUAGCGAAAGGUACGCUAAUACCGCAUACGAUCUAAGGUUGAAAGCGGGGGAUCGCAAGGCCUCCCUCCCUUGGAGGGGCCAAUAUCAGAUUAGGCAGUUGGUGGGGUAAAGGCUCACCAAGCCAACGAUCUGUAGCUGGUCUGAGAGGACGACCAGCCACACUGGAACUGUGACACGGUCCAGACUCCUACGGGAGGCAGCAGUGGGGAAUUUUGGACAAUGGACGCAAGUCUGAUCCAGCCAUUCCGCGUGCAAGAUGAAGGCCCUCGGGUUGUAAACUGCUUUUGUACGGAACGAAAAGGUCUCUCUUAAUACGGGGGGCUCAUGACGGUACCGUAAGAAUAAGCACCGGCUAACUACGUGCCAGCAGCCGCCGUAA
rnacentral:rRNA from 1 species